rnacentral:rRNA from 1 species
AUUGAACGCUGACGGCAGGCCUAACACAUGCAAGUCGAACGGUAACAGGAAACAGCUUGCUGUUUCGCUGACGAGUGGCGGACGGGUGAGUAAUGUCUGGGAAACUGCCUGAUGGAGGGGGAUAACUACUGGAAACGGUAGCUAAUACCGCAUAACGUCGCAAGACCAAAGAGGGGGACCCUCGGGCCUCUUGCCAUCGGACGCGCCCAGAUGGAAUUAGCUAGUAGGUGGGGUAACGGCUCACCUAGGCGACGAUCCCUAGCUGGUCUGAGAGGAUGACCAGCCACACUGGAACUGAGACACGGUCCAGACUCCUACGGGAGGCAGCAGUGGGGAAUAUUGCACAAUGGGCGCAAGCCUGAUGCAGCCAUGCCGCGUGUAUGAAGAAGGCCUUAGGGUUGUAAAGCACUUUCAGUGGGGAGAAAAGUGAUUCACCUAAUACGUGAGUCAAUUGAUGUUACCCACAGAAGACGCACCGGCUAACUCCGUGCCAGCAGCCGCCGUAA